rnacentral:misc_RNA from 1 species
AGCAGAAAAGAACAUUGAAUGUUAAGAGUUUAAUGCAAGAACCCGUAGGUUCACAGAAAGAAAUGAAGAUAGAUCAAAACAUUAAAGAGACUCCAUUUCUCCUUACAUCUCUAGUAGGACGAGGAGGAAGAGGAGUUUAGCAGUAAAAUUUUUUAUAUAAUUCUUAAUGUUUUACACAUUGAAUUUCCUAAAAACAUAAUGCUUUUGUGGCAUAUAGCACAUAACAUGCUUGUUGGGUGCCUAAGCAAAAAUAGCUCCUUUUCCACAACAAAAUCCUCAGAUAUGUGCAUCUCACCAUUCACCAUAAAAGAAUGUUUGUAUACAGCCAAUAGUGAUGCAUGGUUUAUUACCCAGUAAAUUACAAACACAAGGAGACAUCUAGAAAAAAAUUCACUAACUCAACACUCAAAAUAGAUGCCUUGAAAAAUUUUAAAGGCUGGAAAGAUACCAACUAGAGAUUUCCAAAAAAUGGCUCCCCCAAUAGCCAGAGCGUCUAAUUCCAAAUUACCAAUUUCAAGGACCAGAAGAAAAGAGCAGAAGAUAAAAAUAGCCUACGGCCACCUUAGUUAGACCACGUGUUUGAAUCGCUAAACAGAGAUUCAUUGAGAAUGAAAAAGAGCAAGGCUGUAUAUGGAUGACUUAUCAAAAUCCACUUGUGUCUUCUGAGAAGGAGCAUUUAAGAGUCUUGCCUAUUGUUCCAAGAGUCUUGCUUCAUUAAUUAGGUUUCUAAAUUUUAAAACUUAUUAAGUUGUGGAAGCAUUUGACUCUCUAGGAAUGUGUGUUUGUAUUAAGUGUUGAACUUGAAAGUUUUUUUUUAAUCCUAUAAAAAUGUAAUGUUAAGGAUGUCUUAAUCAAUUAUAUAAAAUCUCAGUUCUUUUACUUUUUGGAGGAUUCUAGAAUUUAUUUUCCUCAUUGAUUCCAGGAUGUUUGAGGCUUAGGCAUGUUCUAGCUUUGUUAGUGUGCUUCUUUCGUUUGUCAACUUCUAUUGCCAUCCUCAUCAUGCUUCUACCCUUUCUAACCUCUAAAAGAAACUAAUUAAUAAUUGAUAACACCAAUCACAUUGGUCAAGACACAAGAAUGAGGGUUCUCACCAAGA